GGGGGGGCGUGCAGCACUUCCUCUGUGUCUUUCCUUUCACUUGGGUGAGUGUCCUAGUGCUGUAUUUAGACUGCCUCCGCAUGUGAUAGUCUUCUCAAUUUACAAAUGUUAACGAACUUUCUGUCCAACAGUUAUUAAUGUGACUUCAUCCAGCUUUGGCCAAAACUAAAACUGAUGAUAAGCUGCUGACUAAGACCUUUCUGUCUGUGCCCCCUCCCGUGAGAACGUUGCCAGGCAAAGUUUUCCAGCUGACAGACACCUCGAGAAAACUUCCUGACUGUGCCCCUUGGGCGCCUGGCACACUGUUGUACAAAGGAGCGUUUGAUAAACAGCAAGAGUGGAUGGGAACCACAAGCUAUCCUCCACCAUAGGUUCGUGCCUUCUUUAAGCAUUAUCUCUAGAAUUACUUGUAUUCAGAAUAAUUAAUGUUCCAUAGAAACCUUCAGUUAAAGUGUUCCUCCAAUGUUCGAUUUUGAUAAUAACAUGAUUCCAAGUUGUCGUCAUUUUUAUGCAUUUGGUAUGCUCUUGAAGAGUGUACCCAGGCACUGUUGAAACUCAAGUACUUGCCAUAAUUGAAUUUCAAAUCUUAUCUCCUUAUUAUAAUCUGAUAUGUAUUCCUACUGUGCUUUGGCUCCGCAUAUAAUAUAAAUCACAUUUCUGAAAUCCAAAUGCUGCCUCGAGGGACGUUCUGCUCUUGUUAAUGAACAGUUUGUGUAUACUGAACUCUUCUGAAAAACUUUAAUCAAAUGGUCCUUGAGCCUCUUACUCUUUGAAAACUCAUUACAGUGCCUGCUAAAUACAAAACAAACAGCAAAUCCUGUGUUAUUAGAAAUUCUCCCCGAGGCUGAGCUAGUUGAAUAUUUUAAAAAUGACACUCACUCUGCCAUCACUCAGAGAACUUAGUUCUAUCAGUAAACACAUACUCACUGACUGUUUUCCCAGACAGCACAUAUGAUGAAGGUAUGACAGCAUUUCCUUGUUUGUGCUCAAAUAGUAAAAGUACCACCUCUUUAAAUGAGAUCUCAUAGCCUGUUAGCAGUUUAGUUAAUAAGUAGUUAGUUUCAACCUUUUCAAGCUCUUGACACCUGAUUUAAGGAGGCCCUUGGCCCCCGGGAGGCUCAGGAUCUACCUGGAGACUUUCAAAACAAUCUACGGUUAGGAACCUCUAAGGAGAGCGCUGCCACGUAUGAGCUUUUGUUCUUUCUUUUUAAACGAAUAACUAAAAGUUCUUUUUUUCCCUAAAGAUUGGCACCUGAGCUAACAGCUGUUGCCAAUCUUCUUUUUUCUUUUUUUUUCUUCUUCUCCCCAAAGCCCCCAGUACAUAGUUGUGUACUCUAGUUGUGAGUGCCUCUCUGCUGUGUGGGGCGCUGC
rnacentral:lncRNA from 1 species